CAGUCGCCGCGGUAAUACAGAGGGUGCGAGCGUUAAUCGGAUUUACUGGGCGUAAAGCGUGCGUAGGCGGCUUCUUAAGUCGGAUGUGAAAUCCCCGAGCUUAACUUGGGAAUUGCAUUCGAUACUGGUUAGCUAGAGUGUGGGAGAGGAUGGUAGAAUUCCAGGUGUAGCGGUGAAAUGCGUAGAGAUCUGGAGGAAUACCGAUGGCGAAGGCAGCCAUCUGGCCUAACACUGACGCUGAGGUACGAAAGCAUGGGGAGCAAACAGGAUUAGAUAUCCCCGUAGUCCCUGUCUCUUAUAC
rnacentral:rRNA from 1 species